UACAGAGGGUGCAAGCGUUGUCCGGAUUUAUUGGGUGUAAAGGGUGCGUAGGCGGGACGAUAAGUCCGAGGUGAAAGCCCGCAGCUUAACUGCGGAACUGCCUUGGAUACUGUCGACCUUGAGUCCCGGAGGGGUGGCUGGAAUUCCUGGUGUAGCGGUGAAAUGCGUAGAUAUCAGGAGGAACACCAGUGGCGAAGGCGCUCUGCUAGGCCGUAACUGACACUGAGGGACGAAAGCUAGGGGAGCGAAUGGG
rnacentral:rRNA from 1 species